rnacentral:rRNA from 1 species
GACGAACGCUGGCGGCGUGCUUAACGCAUGCAAGUCGAACGGAAAGGCCCUGCUUUUGUGGGGUGCUCGAGUGGCGAACGGGUGAGUAACACGUGAGUAACCUGCCCUUGACUUUGGGAUAACUUCAGGAAACUGGGGCUAAUACCGGAUAGGAGCUCCUGCUGCAUGGUGGGGGUUGGAAAGUUUCGGCGGUUGGGGAUGGACUCGCGGCUUAUCAGCUUGUUGGUGGGGUAGUGGCUUACCAAGGCUUUGACGGGUGGCCGGCCUGAGAGGGUGACCGGCCACAUUGGGACUGAGAUACGGCCCAGACUCCUACGGGAGGCAGCAGUGGGGAAUAUUGCACAAUGGGCGGAAGCCUGAUGCAGCAACGCCGCGUGCGGGAUGACGGCCUUCGGGUUGUAAACCGCUUUCGCCUGUGACGAAGCGUGAGUGACGGUAAUGGGUAAAGAAGCACCGGCUAACUACGUG